UCAGUAACAAGGAUUCAUCCUGUUGUCACCAUAGAAAGCAACAGGAAGUCACUGUUACUGGCC
ensembl:miRNA gmo-mir-459 gmo-mir-459